rnacentral:rRNA from 1 species
UACGUAGGGACCAAGCGUUGUUCGGAUUUACUGGGCGUAAAGGGCGCGUAGGCGGCAAUUCAAGUCAGCUGUGAAAUCUCCGGGCUUAACUCGGAACGGUCAGCUGAUACUGCUUUGCUAGAGUGCGGAAGGGGCAAUCGGAAUUCUCGGUAUAGCGGUGAAAUGCGUAGAUAUCGAGAGGAACACCUGAGGUGAAGACGGGUUGCUGGGCCGACACUGACGCUGACAGCGCGAAAGCCAGGGGAGCAAACGGG